rnacentral:pre_miRNA from 1 species
UCCACGUCUGAGUUGGACAGGGGAUCUAGACAGUUCGCAACAUACUUCUGCCAGAUCUAACUUUCCAGCUCACGCGUGGA